UUCCAGACUCCUACGGGAGGCAGCAGUGGGGAAUAUUGCACAAUGGGGGAAACCCUGAUGCAGCGACGCCGCGUGAGCGAUGAAGUAUUUCGGUAUGUAAAGCUCUAUCAGCAGGGAAGAAGAUGACGGUACCUGACUAAGAAGCCCCGGCUAACUACGUGCCAGCAGCCGCGGUAAUACGUAGAGGGCAAGCGUUAUCCGGAUUUACUGGGUGUAAAGGGAGCGUAGACGGCGAUGCAAGCCAGAUGUGAAAGCCCGGGGCUCAACCCCGGGACUGCAUUUGGAACUGUGUGGCUGGAGUGUCGGAGAGGCAGGCGGAAUUCCUAGUGUAGCGGUGAAAUGCGUAGAUAUUAGGAGGAACACCAGUGGCGAAGGCGGCCUGCUGGACGAUGACUGACGUUGAGGCUCGAAAGCGUGGGGAGCAAACAGGAUUAGAUACCCGAGUA
rnacentral:rRNA from 1 species